UUUGAUCAUGGCUCAGAUUGAACGCUGGCGGCAGGCUUAACACAUGCAAGUCGAGCGGGGGAAGGUAGCUUGCUACUGGACCUAGCGGCGGACGGGUGAGUAAUGCUUAGGAAUCUGCCUAUUAGUGGGGGACAACAUCUCGAAAGGGAUGCUAAUACCGCAUACGUCCUACGGGAGAAAGCAGGGGAUCUUCGGACCUUGCGCUAAUAGAUGAGCCUAAGUCGGAUUAGCUAGUUGGUGGGGUAAAGGCCUACCAAGGCGACGAUCUGUAGCGGGUCUGAGAGGAUGAUCCGCCACACUGGGACUGAGACACGGCCCAGACUCCUACGGGAGGCAGCAGUGGGGAAUAUUGGACAAUGGGGGGAACCCUGAUCCAGCCAUGCCGCGUGUGUGAAGAAGGCCUUAUGGUUGUAAAGCACUUUAAGCGAGGAGGAGGCUACUUUAGUUAAUACCUAGAGAUAGUGGACGUACUCGCAGAAUAAGCACCGG
rnacentral:rRNA from 1 species